CCUACGGGUGACAGCAGUGAGGAAUAUUGGUCAAUGGACGCAAGCCUGAACCAGCCAUGCCGCGUGAAGGAAGACGGUACAGUGUGUCGUAAACCGCUUUUGUCAGGGGGCAAAGGCGGGUACUCGUAUCCGUCUGAGAGUAUCGUACGAAUAAGCAUCGGCUAACUCCGUGCCAGCAGCCGCGGUAAUACGGAGGAUUCAAGCGUUAUCCGGAUUUAUUGGGUUUAAAGGGUGCGCAGGCGGCCUGUUAAGUCAGCGGUAAAAGCCCGGGGCUCAACCCCGGCGUGCCGUUGAAACUGGCGGGCUGGAGUUGGAGAGCGGUACGCGGAAUGCGUGGUGUAGCGGUGAAAUGCUUAGAUAUCGCGCAGAACACCGAUUGCGAAGGCAGCGUACCGG
rnacentral:rRNA from 1 species